rnacentral:rRNA from 1 species
AUGCACGCUGGCGGCGUGCCUAAUACCUGCAAGUCGAGCAAACGGACGAGAAGCUUGCUUCUCUGAUGUUAGCGGCGGACGGGUGAGUAACACGUGGAUAACCUACCUAUAAGACUGGGAUAACUUCGGGAAACCGGAGCUAAUACCGGAUAAUAUUUUGAACCGCAUGGUUCAAAAGUGAAAGACGGUCUUGCUGUCACUUAUAGAUGGAUCCGCGCUGCAUUAGCUAGUUGGUAAGGUAACGGCUUACCAAGGCAACGAUGCAUAGCCGACCUGAGAGGGUGAUCGGCCACACUGGAACUGAGACACGGUCCAGACUCCUACGGGAGGCAGCAGUAGGGAAUCUUCCGCAAUGGGCGAAAGCCUGACGGAGCAACGCCGCGUGAGUGAUGAAGGUCUUCGGAUCGUAAAACUCUGUUAUUAGGGAAGAACAUAUGUGUAAGUAACUGUGCACAUCUUGACGGUACCUAAUCAGAAAGCCACGGCUAACUACGUG